CAUAGUAUGGGGACAUCCGAGCGAUGAAAGACGUUGCAAACACGCAAUUGCACCAUUCGCUGCGUAGUCGUGGAGCUGAUUCCCAUGCCAUUUGGCAAUUUGGCAAAACGGGCUUUGGGUGAUGCGUGCAUAAAGAGUUUCUUAAUGACAAAAAAAAAAAUCAACAAGGAGGAAACCGUCAUUGUGCUGAUAACUGCUUGGGUAGUUAAGUGUGCACUGAUACAAUGUGCCAAAAGGAGGUCGAUUAUCGUAGUCACUUUUCAUUCGCGCAACCACGGCAAAUCAAUCACUGUUCAUGCUGAUCCCCACCACGCCUGCAAGUAGUGACCUCCACCAUCAGCAACUGGGAAAUGCACUCUUUCCGUAUAAUAAGAUGUCAGAAGGCAACAGCGCUGCAGGCAGCAAUGAUGUAUCAAGCAACUCACCUUGUAUCCGCAACAAUGCAUCAAGCAGCUGAUCAGUGGCAGCGAUGGCGGCGGAAGAAUGCUAAGCUGACGGUGCGCGUUUCAAUCAUCACCAAAAAGAAACGUUCUUGUGCGCUAGUGUUGGUGAAGUGUGCGUGCGGGUGUUUUUUUAAAAUCUUCGUAGUGUAUGUAUGUGUGCGUGUCAUCGUGUUUGUGGCGAAACGUCGGGUGAGGUGGGCCAUUGUCGCGACUGGUGUGUGAUGAUUUUGUACAAGCUUUGCAGCUGUGUGCGUGUCCCGGUGCGGUGAAGUGAAUGGCUGGUGCUCGCAGGUGAUGCGAAUGUGGUUAUUUGCUGCAGUCACGUGACCGCAGCAGUGUUGUGCAUCGGUUUGGUUCAUCAAGAUUGUCAAGUGACUGACCUUCAACGUUUGAAGGUCACGUGAUGUGAAAUAGCGUGGCGAUUUCGCAUUGCGACGUGGCUGCAAAAGUGCAGUGAUGUGCGUUUGUUUGGUUCGUUAUGAAGUGGUUUCAGAUUAUGUGCGCGAGGUGUGAAUUGGUGCGGUGAUUGAUGCCUUGUGAUGGGAGUUGGUUUAGUAUGCUAUGAAGUGGCUUCGGGAUGAACGUCUGGUGAAGUGAAUUCAUGUGGUGAUUUCGUGCUCUCAUGUGGCUGCGAAAGCACCGUGAGGUUACGUGCGUGAGUGUGGUGCAUCACUUGUGUUGAGCGCCUUCAGGCAAAGAGCCGAGUGACGUGAACCACUCGGUUGUGUGGCUGUGGAAGCGGUGAUGUGCACGAUAGUGUGGUGGUGGUGAAUCAGUGUCAUCGUGGCGUCUUCACGUGAUUUGAAUUGGUGGGGUGACAUCACCUCGUGUAAUUGUGGGCAGCCGUGAUGUGAAGUGCUUCUGCUACAAAAUUUAUGUGAAACAGAUGUGGAAGGGAAUCAUAGUGAGUGACUUAAAGGGGUUGAGGCCAACUGUGUAAGAAAAGGAAAGAAGUGGACCGUCGGGGAAGUGUGGUGACCGGCUGAUCUUCGCCACUGCGACGUGUACAAAGCUUCCCUUGUGUGAGCUGCUACAGUUGGUGAAGUGUAGUAAUACAAAAGGUAGUGUGCAGUGGUGUGCAAGUGAGUGUGAGGUGCUUCAUGAAAGAGUUGAGUGCUAAAUCACGCGCCCAGGCUUUGAGCAAACUUAGAAAACGUGUUGUGGUGUGAGUGGUCUCUCUGGGAAACAGAAGCAAUGGCUUGCGCUGAGCACGUGCUCGCAACGUGAGUGGCUACCUACAAUAAGCCAGUGUGCAUGUGAGGUUCAGAGCUGUGAAGCGUGUGCGUCGUCAACGUUGUGUCUGCAUAGUAUUUCGAGCGUACCGGGGAUACGUAUUUUCGACACGCGCACAAAGCAACAGUGAAGACGUGGUGAAACGUGCAGUGCGUGAGGUGCAUUCGUGGUGUUGGCACGUGUGUGGAUGUGUGUGUGUUGUGCAGAAUGUGGCGGUUAUGUGGAAGUGUGGUGAAAGUGAAUCCGUGAAAAGUGCUGCUUGUGAGCUGAAUUUAGUGUAGACCAGCUCUUGAAAAGAAGGGCAGGUGUGAGCGAGUGCCCGCGAGAUUGAUGGCGAGUGUUGUCUGUUCACAGCCUAGACAAAUGAAAACCAAGCUGGACGUGGGGCAGUUUAUGGUGUGCUUCAAGCUGCUGUGGUGCUGAAGAGGAUAGGUGGGCAGUGCCUGAAGUGCUGUGAAAAGGGUCGUACAAGCAGUGGAACUGAAAGAACAUUAAUUGAAAGUUAGCACUCCGUUCCUUUUAAGCAUGUGCGUUUGACGGCUUCGUGCGGUGGCGGAAAAAAUCGUGUGGAACCGACAGUGGACGUACUCGUAUGAUUUUUUUUUCAGCUGCAACAAAGGUGAGUGAUAGGGGAAGUAGAAGGUAGAGUGCCAAUAAAAGAUUUCUGCGUACAAA